CCUGCUCAAUGUAAUAAUAAAUAGCCGCAGUUUACUGUGCUAAGGUAGCAUAAUCAUUAGCUUUUUAAUUAAAAGAUAGAAUGAAAGGUUAAAUGAAUAUAAAUUGUCUCUAAAAUAUAAAACUAAUUUAAAAUAAAAGUUAAAAUUCUUUUAUAUCUUAAGAAAGACGAUAAGACCCUAAUAAACUUUUACAUUUAGCUGGGGCGGCAAAUUAAAUAAACCUUAAUAAUAUAUACACACAAAUCUAAUAAAAUUAAAUCAAUAAAGUUACUAUAGGGAUAACAGCGCAAUCUUUUUUUAAAGUUCUUAUCCAAAAAAAGACUUACGACCUCGAUGUUGAAUUAAUAAUCUUUAUACGAUGCAAAAAUCUUAAAAGACAGUCUGUUCGACUAUUAAAAAAUU
rnacentral:rRNA from 1 species